GCUGAGUUACAUUUCCUGUAUGUUUUGUUUGGUACUUGGUUAAAAUAUAAUGUACGUUGUUUUGGACAAAAGCGUCUGCUAAUAAUUUUAAAUAUAAACAUAA